GCUAUUCAGCUUGGGCAUUCAUGUAGAGGAUGGGGUGGAUUUUACACAGGUAACAACAACAGAAAGGCCAGCAAGCACUCCAGCCACAGCAUAUGGUGGCAUUUCAUAGGUGCAUUUCUCCUAGCACAAGUAAAACAUACAUCAAAGCUCAUAUAACUUAAAUUGAGAGCACUAGAAAAAGAAGUUAUGGAAAACCUGGAGAAGCAGGGUUCCAUGGUGACAACACAAAGACGGAAAACUUCAAAAUCUUCCAUUUGGGUUCCUACAGGCUGGAAACCUCAUGGAGAAUUCCACAAGGGACUGCCAUACAAAUGACCUGGAGACCUGUUUUCAUGGAUGAAGCUAGGAUAGCAUUUCCUGCAUUUCCGUUAUGAUCCUCUGACAGAUAUGCAAUUCACUUAUUAUAAUGAAAAUCUAGAAUUAAUAAUUUGGAAGCGAUGCAGCCACAAAGAGAAAUUUAAUCACUAUUUAAAACAUGUUUUGGUUUUUUUUCAGCACACCUGUAAAUGAAAUAGAAUGCACUGUGCUGAAGAGGGAGACCAGCAUAGAAAAUGUUUAUAUAUAAAGCUAUUUCCUAAUUUAUUAUUUUUUAAAAAAAGCCCAAAGGUCUUAACUAUAAAUCACUUUUACACUUGUAAGGAAAAAUUUCUCUAUCUGGUCUAUAUUAAAUAUGCAAGGGAAAUAUAGUAUGUGGGCUAUAUAGGACAUAUAUACCUAUUGGAAAGAAUAACAUUUAAAAAUACUUUUUCAUGAUCAUGCUCUGGAAACAGGAUAUGCAAAACUGUUUACAAAUAAGUUACUUUUAAAUAUAAAUUGAAUAUAAAAUAUGAUCCAGUCUAGAAACAUACUGGGAAUGAAUCCACAAUUAAUGUCCAAAGUAUAGAACUCUUACUUCAUUAAUUACAUAUUGAUAUAUGAGAUACCACAUGUUUGCUUUAUGGUAUCCUCAUACCAUAAUAUUAAUAUGUUAAAUGAGAAGGACAAAGUAAGUUAAUGGAAACAUAAUACAGUAACAGAAAAUAAAUGACAGUAAAAUAAUGGGUACAAACUAGAAGCAAAAUUCUUUGGAUUGUACCUUCACGGUUAAUUUGUGGCAAAAAUUAAACCUCUGGGGAGAAAGAAACUAAAUGAGGAAACUGCAAAAUGGAUUAAGUUUUCCUGAAUACCUGAACUAGUAAUGCAGUUAAUAUCUACAACAGCCGGGAAGAUGGACUCUGUUUUUUUCCCUUAGAAAAGUCCAUCAACCCUUUUCAGGAGGGAUUUGCACAUUAUAAAGCUCCAAAGAGCCCAAGUGCUGACAGAGGAAAAUGGUAUCUAGCAGCACAGGGCAGCCUCGGCAGCCCAUCAAGAGCAAAACCACAUAAGAGAGCCAGAGACAUAUCCAGAGCUACCAACACAACUGCCUACAAAGCUGCCAAGGAGACAGAAGCUGCUUGUGGGAAAAUAUUACUUAGUUUUAGCAUAUGGGUCCUAUGAUUAUUAUCCAAAGAGAGACAGAGUGGUAAGCUAUGGUGAGAUAAACAGCACCUCAUUCCUCCCUUACCACACACACACACAAAUCUCUUUCCCCCCAAACUAGAUACACCCUAUAUAAUUUAUUUCAAUUUUGGCCAUGUUUUGAAUCCAUUUCUACAGACAGCUUUGGUAAAGGAACACUUGCCCACACUUAGUGUAUGAGACAUAGUAGGGCUAUUUGUUACUGUUGUUAUGUUUGUCCUGAAAUGUAAGCAUGUUUACAGUAGAAAUGAAGUCCCAGCUCUCUUGCAGGUAAUCCUAGGGAGUCUAAAAGGCUCAAGGGAAUCCCAAACAGGGAUGCUUUAAAAUGAACUUCUGCUCCUGUCCAAAUACAUUAAAACAGGGUCAAAUAUUUAAUCUGAUUUUUCCUCAUUUUCGGGAAGAGAACAGACCCCAAAUCCCUAACAGUUCUAGUAUCAAUCCUCUCCUGUAUCUCACUUUUUUUUUUUUUUUGGCUGAAAGGAAGAAAGGACACAGAAAAAGAGGGGUGCUCUACCCACUUGUCGUUUACCGUGUGUGAAAAAGAGAGAUAGUGUUUUUUCUGGCUAGUAAAUAAGGCAAAGUAAGAAUUUGCUUUUUAAGGUGACAAAUGCAACAACAACAACAACAAAAAACAACUUAAGGUAAUAUAAAGGCUGGAGAGAUGUUAUGGUUAGUUAAUAGGCCCUAAGUUCCCAGAGUUAUAUCCACAGUUGUGCAGACAACUGUGCAAUCAAAAGCUUUUGGAUAAUGUACAAACGUUUCCAUAUUCAAGCUACAUCUUCACUCUGUGGAAGAAAAUGAUUUCUGUUUUAAAAUAUAUGGUAUUAUCUUCUUACAAUAAAUUCAUGUUUUUUUCUGCAGAACUUUAUGAGUAGAGCUUCAGUAUAACCUGCGUUGUUGUCAGAAUUGCAAUGAAUACAUUGCAAACUAUUGAAACAAAUCAGGACUGUCACUCUACUUCAUUAUAAGGAGAGUUCAUUUAUAUGUGUGAUUCCCAUAAGGGGGAUUGCAACAUAUCUACAGUGUGGAGUCACAAUUUCAAAUAGCAUGAUAUGUAAAAUGCAAUCUAUUGGUGUGUUUUGAAAAAACUCAAUUUUCCUGAACUGCAUCUGAAGUGAUUAAAGAGUACAAGUAGUUAUUUUAGUAUAUAUUUUGAAGUUGGGCAAAUCUAUGUGGGUAUACAUACAGAUUCAAAUUUAGUGUUUUAAAGUAAAUGUAUAGAAUAUUUUUACUGAAUAGUAAGUAUUUCCAGUGAGGAACAAGGGUCUUACAUUAAUCUAAACAGAAACCAUGGGAAUAUCUGGGAUCCACACAUAUAUUUAAGAGUAUAACUGGAAGAAAAUAUCCAAGGGAGACUAACCUGUAACAUAAGAGGAACUACAGCCUGGAGUUACUGUAUAAUAACCCAAGAAUCAUGGAUUCAAUGCCACAAUCCAUUUUUUGUUUUGUUUUGUUUUUUAGUUCUCACCAGCAGAAGAUACUUUGAUUCUAACGAUGGACUCUUUUGAUUGAUGGACCAUUUGAUAGAAUGUUACUGAGAGAUUAUUAUUUCUGUUCCUGUGUAAACAAAUAUAUUCCAAAACCCAUUUAAAUGUAUAGUAUUAUUUAUACCAUUAUUAAACAAAAUGGCAAAAAUAUUAUUAAAUUGUUCCAUCGCUUCCCUUUUUAUUAUAUAAUAUCAAAAUUCAAUAUGAACAUGUCUAAAUGCAAAGCGAGGCUCAGUUCUUAGAGAAAGCUACUGUACAUAUGACUGGCAUUAGUCACCUUACCCUAGAAGACAAAAGGAGAAGUAAAUGUGAAAAUAUGUUGUAUUAAACAAAGAAAGGUUUUUAAAAAAAUCAUUUGCAGGUAUUGCUUGUGCUUUGUGAAUGCAGCUU